UACACGCUGUGACUAGCAUAUCAAUAAGCGGAGGAAAAGAAACUAACAAGGAUUCCCCUAGUAACGGCGAGUGAAGCGGGAAGAGCUCAAAUUUGAAAUCUUAAAGGGUUUCCCUUUACGAAUUGUAGUUUAAAGAAGUGUUUUCUGUUGAGGUUUUGGUAAAAGUUCUUUGGAAUAGGACAUCAUAGAGGGUGAGAAUCCCGUAUUUGACCUUUACUUUCAACUUUGUGAUACACUUUCAAAGAGUCGGAUUGUUUGGGAAUGCAGUCCAAAAUGGGUGGUAAAUUUCAUCUAAAGCUGAAUAUUGGCGAGAGACCGAUAGCGAACAAGUACCGUGAGGGAAAGAUGAAAAGAACUUUGAAAAGAGAGUUAAACAGUACGUGAAAUUGUCAAAAGGGAAGCGUUUGACACCAGUGUUGUUUUUCUGAAAAUCAAUUAAAGAACUGUUUAUGCUAAGUUGUUUAGACUUUAUCAGCUAACUGUUUAGUUUUGAGCUUUUCUUUAAUGCACUUUUCAGUUAACAAGUCAACAUCAAUUCCUUUUGCUGUAAAAAAGCUUGAGGAAGGUGGCUUGAGAUUCGUCUUAAGUGUUUAUAGCCUCUUGCCUAUGCAGUCGGAGAGAUUGAGGUCUGCAGCGUAGAUCCUUCGGGGCUAAAUGCAUUUGUGCUAAGUUAUAACAUUUCAUAGACAACUUGUUGACUAUGAUUUGUCUUGUAGCUUACUCGCUUAUGUUAUUUUACCUACGCUUAGGAUGUUGACAGCAGUAUAGACUGU
rnacentral:rRNA from 1 species